UGGCUCAGAUUGAACGCUGGCGGCAGGCCUAACACAUGCAAGUCGAACGGUAACAGGAAGCAGCUUGCUGCUUCGCUGACGAGUGGCGGACGGGUGAGUAAUGUCUGGGAAACUGCCUGAUGGAGGGGGAUAACUACUGGAAACGGUGGCUAAUACCGCAUAACGUCGCAAGACCAAAGAGGGGGACCUUCGGGCCUCUUGCCAUCAGAUGUGCCCAGAUGGGAUUAGCUAGUUGGUGAGGUAACGGCUCACCAAGGCGACGAUCCCUAGCUGGUCUGAGAGGAUGACCAGCCACACUGGAACUGAGACACGGUCCAGACUCCUACGGGAGGCAGCAGUGGGGAAUAUUGCACAAUGGGCGCAAGCCUGAUGCAGCCAUGCCGCGUGUAUGAAGAAGGCCUUCGGGUUGUAAAGUACUUUCAGCGGGGAGGAAGGUGUUGUGGUUAAUAACCGCAGCAAUUGACGUUACCCGCAGAAGAAGCACCGGCUAACUCCGUGCCAGCAGCCGCGGUAAUACGGAGGGUGCAAGCGUUAAUCGGAAUUACUGGGCGUAAAGCGCACGCAGGCGGUCUGUCAAGUCGGAUGUGAAAUCCCCGGGCUCAACCUGGGAACUGCAUUCGAAACUGGCAGGCUUGAGUCUUGUAGAGGGGGGUAGAAUUCCAGGUGUAGCGGUGAAAUGCGUAGAGAUCUGGAGGAAUACCGGUGGCGAAGGCGGCCCCCUGGACAAAGACUGACGCUCAGGUGCGAAAGCGUGGGGAGCAAACAGGAUUAGAUACCCUGGUAGUCCACGCCGUAAACGAUGUCUACUUGGAGGUUGUGCCCUUGAGGCGUGGCUUCCGGAGCUAACGCGUUAAGUAGACCGCCUGGGGAGUACGGCCGCAAGGUUAAAACUCAAAUGAAUUGACGGGGGCCCGCACAAGCGGUGGAGCAUGUGGUUUAAUUCGAUGCAACGCGAAGAACCUUACCUGGUCUUGACAUCCACAGAACUUUCCAGAGAUGGAUUGGUGCCUUCGGGAACUGUGAGACAGGUGCUGCAUGGCUGUCGUCAGCUCGUGUUGUGAAAUGUUGGGUUAAGUCCCGCAACGAGCGCAACCCUUAUCCUUUGUUGCCAGCGGUUAGGCCGGGAACUCAAAGGAAACUGCCAGUGAUAGACUGGAGGAAGGUGGGGAUGACGUCAAGUCAUCAUGGCCCUUACGACCAGGGCUACACACGUGCUACAAUGGCGCAUACAAAGAGAAGCGACCUCGCGAGAGCAAGCGGACCUCAUAAAGUGCGUCGUAGUCCGGAUUGGAGUCUGCAACUCGACUCCAUGAAGUCGGAAUCGCUAGUAAUCGUGGAUCAGAAUGCCACGGUGAAUACGUUCCCGGGCCUUGUACACACCGCCCGUCACACCAUGGGAGUGGGUUGCAAAAGAAGUAGGUAGCUUAACCUUCGGGAGGGCGCUUACCACUUUGUGAUUCAUGACUGGGGUGAAGUCGUAACAAGG
rnacentral:rRNA from 1 species